rnacentral:rRNA from 1 species
CCUACGGGCGGCAGCAGUGAGGAAUAUUGGUCAAUGGCCGCAAGGCUGAACCAGCCAAGUCGCGUGAGGGAUGACGGUCCUAUGGAUUGUAAACCUCUUUUGUCAGGGAGCAAAGGGCGCCACGUGUGGCGCUUUGCGAGUACCUGAAGAAAAAGCAUCGGCUAACUCCGUGCCAGCAGCCGCGGUAAUACGGAGGAUGCGAGCGUUAUCCGGAUUUAUUGGGUUUAAAGGGUGCGCAGGCGGAAUGUCAAGUCAGCGGUAAAAUUUCGGGGCUCAACCCCGUCGUGCCGUUGAAACUGGCGUUCUUGAGUGAGCGAGAGGUAGGCGGAAUGCGUGGUGUAGCGGUGAAAUGCAUAGAUAUCACGCAGAACUCCGAUUGCGAAGGCAGCAUACCGGCGCUCAACUGACGCUGAUGCACGAAAGCGUGGGUAUCGAACAGGAUUAGAUACCCUUGUAGUC